rnacentral:rRNA from 1 species
GUGAGCUAAUACCGGAUAUCUCAUUUCCUCUCCUGAGGGAAUGAUGAAAGACGGAGCAAUCUGUCACUUGCGGAUGGGCCUGCGGCGCAUUAGCUAGUUGGUGAGGUAACGGCUCACCAAGGCGACGAUGCGUAGCCGACCUGAGAGGGUGAACGGCCACACUGGGACUGAGACACGGCCCAGACUCCUACGGGAGGCAGCAGUAGGGAAUCUUCCGCAAUGGGCGAAAGCCUGACGGAGCAACGCCGCGUGAGUGAUGAAGG